GGAUGAGCUGUGGGUAGGGGUGAAAUGCCAAACGAACGCGGAGAUAGCUGGUUCUCCCCGAAAUGCAUUUAGGUGCAGCCCUAGGGGGAGCGUUGUGGAGGUAGGGCACUGAAUGGGCAAGCGGGCGAGAGCUUAGCGACCCCAAUCAAACCACGAAUGCCGCAACAGCAUCCCUGGGAGUGAGACUGUGGGGGCUAAGCUCCAUAGUCGAGAGGGAAACAACCCGGACCGCCAGCUAAGGCCCCCAAUUCCAGGCUUAGUGUCAAAGGAUGUGAGGUCGCACAGACAGCCAGGAGGUUGGCUUAGAAGCAGCCACCCUUGAAAGAGUGCGUAACAGCUCACUGGUCGAGUGAUCUCGCGCCGACAAUGUACCGGGGCUCAAGCCUGGAGCCGAAGCUGCGGAUGUCACUUCUCUUUGAGGUGGCGUGGUAGGGGAGCGUCGUGAUCUGCGGUGAAGUCGUCUUGUGAAGGACGGUGGAGUGAUCACGAGUGCGAAUGCCGGCAUGAGUAGCGCAAGGCACGUGAGUAAGCGUGCCCACCGAAUGGCCGAGGUUUCCGACGGAAGGUUAAUCCUCGUCGGGUUAGUCGGGCCUAAGCCGAGGCCGAAGGGCGUAGGCGAUGGACACACGGUUGAUAUUCCGUGACCGCUCGUGGACGACAAAGUCGUGCAGUGGUGCGGGGCUGGGUAGGUUGAGCGCGCCGAUUGGACAUGGUGCGUCUAAGCCUGCAGGAUCCUUCGGGAUUCGAGAGGUGGGAGACCUCAAGCUUCCGGGCUUGGGGGAUUCGAUUGACCUUGGCCUCCGAGAAAAGCCAGUGCACGGAAGCUGCGAGCGACCGUACCGCAAACCGACACGGGUGGCCGGGUGCGAGAGCACCAAGGUGGACGGGUGAGUCCUCGUUAAGGAACUAGGCAAGUUGACCCCGUAACUUCGGGAGAAGGGGUACCGCGGUAGGGUGAAGCCACUCGCUGGUGGAGCUCGAGGCGGGCGCAGAGAAUAGGCCCAUGCGACUGUUUACCAAAAACACAGCUCCCUGCAAACGCGGAAGCGGACGUAUAGGGGGUGACGCCUGCCCGAUGCCGGAAGGUCAAGGGGAGGGGUGAGAGCCUCGAACCGAAGCCCCGGUCAAUGGCGGCCGUAACUAUAACGGUCCUAAGUAGCGAAAUUCCUUGUCGGGUAAGUUCCGACCCGCACGAAUGGCGUAACGACAUGGGCGCUGUCUCAACGAGGGGCCCGGCGAAAUUGAACUGGCCGUGAAGAUGCGGCCUACCCGCGACAGGACAAAAAGACCCCGUGGAGCUUUACUGUAGCCUGACGUUGGGUCGGGGCUCAGGAUGCGUAGAAUAGGUGGGAGGCUUGGAAGUCUGGACUCUGGUCCAGAUGGAGCCACCGUUGAAAUACCACCCUUCCUGGGUUUUG
rnacentral:rRNA from 1 species